CAGGGAGGCUGGAGCGGAUGAGCCCCGCGGUCCCUCCAGCCUGUGGAACCCGUGUGAGACCCAGGCGGGGCAUGGGCGCCAGCACCGCCGGAGCUCAGAUUCCUGGGUUUCCCGCGAGGGAAGUCACAGCAGAAAAGAAAACGGGGCAGUUACAUUAAUUCAACUCGUUUUUAGAGAGGAUAAGCAGCAGGUAGAUGUCAAAUCAGGGACAGAAAACUUGUCCACAACUGCCGAAAAAGUAAACUAUAUAAAAUCAAUGAGGAUGAAUUCUUAUCAUAAAACAUACCAGCCCUAAACCACGAGGUUUCAAGAGUCUUUGCAUUAGGUCAGGUUAAGACAAUUUCCUAAUUUGCUUGGGAUUAGCCAGUGCUGAAACCACCAUCCCUGAAAGCCCUCAUGUGCCGCUUCAGAGGUGAUUCCCAGCACCAAAACAGAGGGAAAAAUACACCAGUGCCACCGAACUGCAGUGCUUGUAAGUGGAAUUGCAACUCAUUAACCUCCAUUAAGAAAUGUAAUCCAGUUAGCCUGAGAGCUUUUCCAUGCGCAGAGGCAUCUACGGUCCAUCCCUCUCUUGCCAGGAGAGGGCCAGAGCUUCCCAGUCCACCGAGAGAAACCAUCCCCAGCUGGCAGGUUCAAGAGGCCUAGGAGUGCUCCAUGUUCCUAAGCCGCUGUGGGUCCCACUGGCAUCCUGCACACUGCCUUGCAGAGAUUCUCAUCAGCAAUCCUUGGAGUUCCUGUCUGAACCUGCUGCCAGCUGCCCAGCCACCUCCUCACCAUAUGAAUGAUGGACUAAUGAUGCCAUUGGGCAGACAGCAACAUUUCUCACCUCUUAUUCAGAACAACCCACUCUGCAAGUAGAAAGAUCACUCAUCCUACAGACAGAUUAAAUACUCUGUGUUCAAGAUGACAGACAUUUUAAAAUGUCAAAAAGCGUGUCUUCAGCACCUGGCCAGCUGUUGAAGUAGAAGCAGUGAUGGUUAACUCUCAGCCUCAAACCCAGAGAUAAAACAUUUCCUCCAGCUACCCAGUCACAACACCCCUUGCUACUGCUCACCCCCAAAGCACCAUCUGCAGUCACGAAUGAAAAGCAGCUCUCCACCCAGCCCAACUGUACACACAGCCUGGGGGGCAUUUCCGUGAUGACACCAGCUGAAAAUGGAACAAUCAAACCCUUCAAUGCAGGAAAAAAAUAUCUAAUGUUACCAGGUUGAUCUUACAGCACAAACAUUUUUCUCCUCUGCCUUGCAAGAGAGGUAUUUUUGUCAGUGUCUGGUACCUGCACAGAGCCAAGCACAUCACCUCCACAGCACUUUAGCUAUUGGCCUCCAGGAGCUAAAUGUAAGCCUUCAGUUUGCCACCUUUUCUACAGAUUACAGCUGUAAAACACAGCUAAGUGGGAGAUAGAAUGCUAAGACAGAGGAAGUACCAAAAGCUUGGUACACAACUUAGAACAAUUUAUUUAAACAGUUCAGUCCAGAAUCAGUUUCUUACAAAACAAGAGCAAAAGUCUGCCCAUGUCCCCUUCUCAUCAUUCACCUGUAGAAAUCAAUCAAGUCUUGAAGAAAACACCCACCCACCGCACCUCUCUGAGAAGUCAGGGUUAAUCCCUGGCAGUCAGCACAAGCUUCACCCUCCACUGGUAGAAGAAGCACAUGCCAAUGGAGCAGGUCCUAAUAUUCAGCACAAGGCCAGACAUGAGUGUGCAGAGGCAGACAUGUGCCUAAAACAGGUAAUGUACACUUACUGGCACACAGCUACAUUACUUAGCUCAAGGUGGUAACUUCUACUUUUCCCCACCUCCACAAAACAUCAAGGAUCUGUUUGGAUCUUUCUUCCUUGUGGCCAAAUAGAAUAACCAAGGGCCAGUCUGUGAGUGAUCCGAGCAAUGGCCCAAUUUGCCAGUGAACAAUCUCCUAGAAAUAUAGACUUUUGGAAAUGGAAAACAUUGUUAAAAGCACUCUGCAGCUGCUGAUGAGUUGGUUUUCUCAAGAGUUCUGCCUUGGGGACAGACAACCAUUACCUGCUUUUUAAACGUAACAACUGUGGAAGCUGACAUGCUGAAACAC